rnacentral:rRNA from 1 species
GACGAACGCUGGCGGCGUGCUUAACACAUGCAAGUCGAACGGUGACGGAGAGCUUGCUCUCCUGAUCAGUGGCGAACGGGUGAGUAACACGUGGGCAACCAGCCCAGACUUCGGGAUAACGCUUCGAAAGAGGUGCUAAUACCGGAUACGAGCUCCUUGGGCAUCCUUGGAGUUGGAAAAGUUUUUCGGUCUGGGAUGGGCCCGCGGCCUAUCAGCUAGUUGGUGAGGUAACGGCUCACCAAGGCGACGACGGGUAGCCGGCCUGAGAGGGCGACCGGCCACACUGGGACUGAGACACGGCCCAGACUCCUACGGGAGGCAGCAGUGGGGAAUAUUGCGCAAUGGGCGAAAGCCUGACGCAGCAACGCCGCGUGAGGGA